rnacentral:rRNA from 1 species
GGGAGGACAGGUGGUGCAUGGUUGUCGUCAGCUCGUGUCGUGAGAUGUGGUUAAGUCCCGCAACGAGCGCAACCCCUACGUUAGUUGCUAACGCGUGGAGGCGAGCACUCUAGACGAAUUGCCGUUGACAAAACGGAGGAAGGUGGGGAUGACGUCAAAUCAUCAUGCCCCUUAUGUUCUGGGCUACACACGUGCUACAAUGGCCGGUACAGACGGACGCAAAGCCGCGAGGUGGAGCAAAUCCUAAAAAGCCGGUCUCAGUUCGGAUUGCAGGCUGCAAUUCGCCUGCAUGAAGUCGGAAUCGCUAGUAAUCGCAGGUCAGCAUACUGCGGUGAAUACGUUCCCGGGCCUU